rnacentral:lncRNA from 1 species
CUCUCAUUCUCUGACCUAUUCCAUCACCCUGCAGGUGAGUAUGAGAACAAGGGGCUGAUGAUCAUUGAUGAAGAGGAAUUCUUGCUGAUCCUGAAGCUCAAAGACCUCAAGAAGCAGUAUCGAAGCGAGUACCAGGAUCUGCGUGACCUCAGGGCUGAGAUUCAGUACUGCCAACACCUGGUGGACCAGUGUCGCCACCGCCUGCUCAUGGGUGCGCAACUUAGAAGGGUUAGGUAACUGCUCAAGGUUGGGAGGCUCAGUGUAAGGUCCCAACCCAAAUUCUGAAAAUCAGAAGAUCUCAGAGCUGCUUGCUGACCCAGGCAGGGCUGGGAGGGGCUUCAGGCUUGUGGUUCCCAGCUCCUUGAGUGCUAGAGAUAGAGAUGAAGACAGGGUGAGACCCUGGAGCAGGAAGUGCAUGAAACUGAAUCUGCAUUGAGAACAAAAUACCUUGUUGCAUGCAGCCUUUACCUGCUUCCUCGGGGGCUCCCACACCUCACCUCAUAGUGCUAUCUUCCACCUCCUCACAGAAUUUGAUAUCUGGUACAAUGAGUCCUUUGUCAUCCCUGAGGAUAUGCAGGUAGCACUGAAGCUGGGCAGCAGUAUCCGGCCAGGCAUGGUGCCUGUCAGCAGGAUCGUGUCUCUGGGAGAAGAUGACCAGGACAAAUUUGCUCAGCUUCAGCAGACAGUGCUACCUGAGGGACCUGAUGCCAUCUCCUUCUACAAUGCCAAAAUCAAGACAGAACAGAAGAUCUUCAGGAGAGGAAUGGUGCCUACCCAGAGAGAUCAGAGUUGCUCUCAGUCAAGAGUGUCUUCUGAAGCUGAAGACAGGGACAGGGCUAGACCAUAGAAGGGUCCCACAGACCACUGCCAGACCUGGACAUGGCUGAGCCAUCCUGUGGAUGGUUCACAACUGAAGACAAGACCCAGAGAUCCCCUGAGGCCACUCCCCUGAAGACCUCUCCAAGGGCAGGCCACUUUGUGCAAGUGGCAGAGGACAGAAGAUCACACUCAGCCAACGCACAGAUAGACAUGGUCUCAGCCUUAGGUUGGGCCUGUGACUCUUCUUCCUGAGCAGGUUGGUCUGGAGCAGAGGAUCUCCACUCUGCCAAGGCCCAGCCUCAAGCCAGAAUGCCAUGUACCCUUCUAUGUCCAGAGGCAAUUUGUAUACAUUGUGGCAGAUGCACAUGGGAUCCCUACCCAAACGAGCACAUUCUUUAUAUUUUUACAAACCAGGAGGCUGAUCACUUGAGCCCAGGGAUUCAAAGUCUGCAUGGUCAACAUAGCAAGACCCUGUCACAAACAACAACAACAACAACAAAAAAAACACAAUAUUUUUUUGUAGUUAUUUAUUUACGUUUUAAUAGGUGAUUCAUUUGGGUGUUUUAAACUUUAAAAAAGCAUAGGUGGGGGCUGGAGAUGUGGCUCAAGCGGUAGUGUGCUCGCCUGGCAUGCGUGCGGCCCGGGUUCGAUCCUCAGUACCACAUACAAACAAAGAUGUUGUGUCCUCCAGAGAACUGGAAAAUAAAUAUUAGA